GCCGGUGUGGCGGAAUUGGCAGACGCGCGGGACUCAAAAUCCCGUUCCUUUCGAGGAGUGUCGGUUCGAACCCGACCACCGGUACUA
rnacentral:tRNA from 4 species